AGAGUUUGAUCAUGGCUCAGAUUGAACGCUGGCGGCAGGCCUAACACAUGCAAGUCGAACGGUAACAGGAAGCAGCUUGCUGCUUCGCUGACGAGUGGCGGACGGGUGAGUAAUGUCUGGGAAACUGCCUGAUGGAGGGGGAUAACUACUGGAAACGGUAGCUAAUACCGCAUAACGUCGCAAGACCAAAGAGGGGGACCUUCGGGCCUCUUGCCAUCGGAUGUGCCCAGAUGGGAUUAGCUUGUUGGUGGGGUAACGGCUCACCAAGGCGACGAUCCCUAGCUGGUCUGAGAGGAUGACCAGCCACACUGGAACUGAGACACGGUCCAGACUCCUACGGGAGGCAGCAGUGGGGAAUAUUGCACAAUGGGCGCAAGCCUGAUGCAGCCAUGCCGCGUGUAUGAAGAAGGCCUUCGGGUUGUAAAGUACUUUCAGCGGGGAGGAAGGGAGUAAAGUUAAUACCUUUGCUCAUUGACGUUACCCGCAGAAGAAGCACCGGCUAACUCCGUGCCAGCAGCCGCGGUAAUACGGAGGGUGCAAGCGUUAAUCGGAAUUACUGGGCGUAAAGCGCACGCAGGCGGUUUGUUAAGUCAGAUGUGAAAUCCCCGGGCUCAACCUGGGAACUGCAUCUGAUACUGGCAAGCUUGAGUCUCGUAGAGGGGGGUAGAAUUCCAGGUGUAGCGGUGAAAUGCGUAGAGAUCUGGAGGAAUACCGGUGGCGAAGGCGGCCCCCUGGACGAAGACUGACGCUCAGGUGCGAAAGCGUGGGGAGCAAACAGGAUUAGAUACCCUGGUAGUCCACGCCGUAAACGAUGUCGACUUGGAGGUUGUGCCCUUGAGGCGUGGCUUCCGGAGCUAACGCGUUAAGUCGACCGCCUGGGGAGUACGGCCGCAAGGUUAAAACUCAAAUGAAUUGACGGGGGCCCGCACAAGCGGUGGAGCAUGUGGUUUAAUUCGAUGCAACGCGAAGAACCUUACCUGGUCUUGACAUCCACGGAAGUUUUCAGAGAUGAGAAUGUGCCUUCGGGAACCGUGAGACAGGUGCUGCAUGGCUGUCGUCAGCUCGUGUUGUGAAAUGUUGGGUUAAGUCCCGCAACGAGCGCAACCCUUAUCCUUUGUUGCCAGCGGUCCGGCCGGGAACUCAAAGGAGACUGCCAGUGAUAAACUGGAG
rnacentral:rRNA from 1 species